rfam:Triticum urartu cultivar G1812 contig1454327, whole genome shotgun sequence.
CAUGUACUCCCUCCGUUCCAUAAUACAUGACCUCCAUUUGUCAGAAUAUAUAUGUAUCUAGACAUGUUUUAGUAUAUAGGUACACCGUACAUCCAUUUUUGGACAAAUGGAAGUCAAGUAUUUUGGAACGGAGGGAGUAGCUU